rnacentral:misc_RNA from 1 species
UGUAGUUGGAGCCGUGCACUCGGGCCAAUAGUAAUCGUACGACGUCGUCGGGAACAUCGUGCGCUCUUCAUCGUUAGUAUCGUCGCGGUGCUCCGUCUUCGCACGACCCGUAACGUCACACGAACAUAAGACCAACGUAUCCGGCAAGCAAUUAGCGUGGGUUGACCGCCAGUUUGCGCGAUCAAUCUCAUUUGCGUGCGUUCCCCUUAAAACAACGAGCUCUCCGCGAUCGAACGCGUGACCAAGUCUCUUCUCAUACUCACGUUUAAAGGUCGCGCGGAAGGCUGCAACUCUUCUUCGGUACCCGGACCCCGCAGCGGAACCCGCGCAGGAAGAGCGGCGACUCGGCUGGCAGGCGCCUUCGAGGCAAUUCUUUGCCGAGAGCGCAUCCAUCUGAGUGGUGGAAAUUGUCAUCCUCAGUCAGCACGACGAUCGACUAGGUCGUUUCGAGUGGAAGACAACGUUGCGAACCAAACACGGCGGCGAAAGGUCACGUCAUGCCAGCAGGUACUGGCGCUUCGUACAGGUCGUUAAGCGACCUGGGCGAAGACGUUUACAAAAGUACGACCAUCGUCGACCAGACACAGACCACCAGCCAGAGCGUUCUCGAGUCCGUGAAGAAGGCGUUUAGCUUCGCCUCGCCGAAGGUUGAGAUCCGGAAGAAGGACCCGCUGAUCGAGGACCGUCGCGAGAGCGUCUCUAUUGUCUCAAGGGAGAGAAACAAGAUGCCGACAGCAGCCACUGCCGAGGAAUCUGCUCUGUUGGGCACGAUGCCUUCCGACAGCAUGGACGACAUCGAGCUGAAGAACAUUCAGCUGCAAUUUCCGGCACUGAGAUAUCUCUCCAGGGACGACAGCUCCGUGCGGGAAGAAAGAGUGGAAACUGACAAGGGAAGUUUGCUAGUGGCGGUGCAAGGAAAUCGAGCAAAACCAGCUAUACUCACUUAUCACGAUUUAGGCCUUAAUUACAUCUCGAGCUUCCAGGCAUUUUUCAAUUACAUCGACAUGCGUGUUCUACUCGAAAACUUUUGUGUAUAUCACGUAAAUGCACCCGGACAAGAGGAAGGCGCAUCGACGCUACCCGAAGAUUACACUUAUCCGUCCAUGGAAGAGCUGGCAGAACAGCUGCUCUUUGUUCUCGGUCAUUUUGCCAUAAGAUCCGUAAUUGGCUUCGGGGUUGGUGCCGGCGCUAAUAUCCUGGCAAGAUUCACACUUGCCCAUCCGGAAAAAGUUAAUGCACUGUGCCUGAUAAACUGCGUGUCCACACAGGCGGGAUGGAUCGAAUGGGGCUAUCAAAAAUUGAACGUGCGCCACCUGAGAUCACAGGGCAUGACCCAGGGCGUUCUCGAUUACUUGAUGUGGCAUCAUUUUGGCAGGGGGACCGAGGAUCGGAAUCAUGAUUUGGUGCAGGUAUACAAGAACUACUUUGAACGUCGCGUCAACCCGACGAAUCUCGCAUUAUUUAUCGACAGUUACGUUCGCCGUUCGGAUUUGAAUAUAACGAGGGAAUUGGACCCGAUGCGUAAAAGGGAGGGAUUGACACUCAGCGUGCCAGUGAUGAAUAUUACGGGCGCUCUAAGCCCUCACGUCGACGACACCGUAACGUUAAACGGACGCCUGGAUCCGACUAACAGCUCUUGGAUGAAAAUAUCGGAUUGCGGUAUGGUGCUGGAAGAACAACCGGGUAAAGUAAGCGAGGCGUUCCGACUGUUUCUUCAGGGCGAAGGAUAUGUGGUGAAAUCCCCGCGGAAGCCGUCCGUGAAGCCGACAACACCCGAAGGUAAUUGUAAUUAGGAAUUGAAGGCCGCAAGGAGAGUCGAGCGCGCAGUUGGUCAAUUAGGCCACGUCUAUAUGUUAAUACUUGGUAGUCGGUAGAGCAACGUACUGUUUGCAAUAUUAACAAGGACCGACCUGUUGCGCUA